AUUUGGAAAGUUUCGCCAGUGAGCAUGCUCAUUCAAUUCAGUAGCUGCAAUCAUAAUUCCAAGAAUCUGAUGAUAAUUUAAAGAAUAAUUUGGAGGAAAGGAUGGAUAAGAAAUUUGAGCAAAUGAUGAAAGGAAUUGAAGCUCUCAUCUCAGUUCGAAAACCAAAUGCACAAAUUACUUCAGGUACUUCAAAUAGCCAAAUAGGAUCAAUUUUGGGUUCAUAUGAGAAUGGAUCUGCUACUGAAAAAAAUAGUAACAGUAUAUUCAAAACAAUCAAGUAUGAAUUUCGUAAAUUUGAUGGAUCAAAUCCAAGAGCAUGGA
rnacentral:lncRNA from 1 species